CACCGCCAAAGAUCGAAGAUGAAGAAGAUGAGUGUUCUAGUUGUGGUGUUGGUUCUGUGCGUGAUGGCCUCUAAUUUGGAGCAGAGCUUUGCUCAGGUCGACUGCAUCGAUGCUUGUACCACCGGCUGUGUUGCAUAUUUUAACAACCCAAGGCUUAUGUCACGCUGUGAUCGCAAAUGCCAGAUAAAAUGUGGUCCAGAUUCUCAAGUUGAGGAGAAUUCGCAUUGACAGGCAAAGAAAACUGCGAGCAAACCAUGAAUCAAUAAGAACAAAUAUAGUAGUAUGUAACAUUUGACAUUCGGGUCAAGUGGCUAAGGAGAAGAGAGAUUCAACUUAGAAGCAAAACACGAAUAACGGGCAACUUGGAUGUUGUGUAUUCUAGAAGCAAAUGUAGCUGCAUUUUCUUUUCUUUUUUAAUUUGUUCUCAAUGAAAUAAGUACGAACGUUAUUUGAGUUUUUUCUUUUCUUUUUUAUUCAAAUAAUGGGCAGGUAUGGUUGUCUUCGAUUCAUCAUUAAUGAAAUUGUGAAACGCAAGAAGGUCACAUG